rnacentral:rRNA from 1 species
AGCGAACGCUGGCGGCAGGCCUAACACAUGCAAGUCGAACGAACUCUUCGGAGUUAGUGGCGGACGGGUGAGUAACACGUGGGAACGUGCCUUUAGGUUCGGAAUAACUCAGGGAAACUUGUGCUAAUACCGAAUGUGCCCUUCGGGGGAAAGAUUUAUCGCCUUUAGAGCGGCCCGCGUCUGAUUAGCUAGUUGGUGAGGUAAAGGACCACCAAGGCGACGAUCAGUAGCUGGUCUGAGAGGAUGAUCAGCCACAUUGGGACUGGUACAUGGCCCAAACUCCUCCGGGAGGCAGCAGUGGGGAAUCUUGCGCAAUGGGCGAAAGCCUGACGCAGCCAUGCCGCGUGAAUGAUGAAGGUCUUAGGAUUGUAAAAUUCUUUCACCGGGGACGAUAAUGACGGUACCCGGAGAAGAAGCCCCGGCUAACUUCGUGCCAGCAGCCGCCGUAA